AUCGACCGGGUAAGCCACAGCUGGUUGGAACGCAGCUCCUUGAUGUCGUUGAAAUGAGACUUGUCGAUGACUUCCUGAGUCCUCUUGUCCGCGUGGUACUCUCUUU
rnacentral:misc_RNA from 1 species